rnacentral:rRNA from 1 species
UGGGGAAUAUUGGACAAUGGGCGCAAGCCUGAUCCAGCCAUGCCGCGUGAGUGAUGAAGGCCCUAGGGUUGUAAAGCUCUUUCACCGGUGAAGAUAAUGACGGUAACCGGAGAAGAAGCCCCGGCUAACUUCGUGCCAGCAGCCGCGGUAAUACGAAGGGGACUAGCGUUGUUCGGAAUUACUGGGCGUAAAGCGCACGUAGGCGGACAUUUAAGUCAGGGGUGAAAUCCCGGGGCUCAACCCCGGAACUGCCUUUGAUACUGGGUGUCUAGAGUUCGAGAGAGGUGAGUGGAAUUCCGAGUGUAGAGGUGAAAUUCGUAGAUAUUCGGAGGAACACCAGUGGCGAAGGCGGCUCACUGGCUCGAUACUGACGCUGAGGUGCGAAAGCGUGGGGAGCAAAACAGGAUUAGGAUACCCUGGUAGUCCACGCCGUAAACGAUGGAAGCCAGCUGUCGGCAAGUUUACUUGUCGGUGGCGCAGCUAACGCAUUAAGCUUCCCGCCUGGGGAGUAC